CAGUCGCCGCGGGAACACGGAGGGUGCGAGCGUUAAUCGGAAUAACUGGGCGUAAAGGGCACGCAGGCGGUUAUUUAAGUGAGGUGUGAAAGCCCCGGGCUUAACCUGGGAAUUGCAUUUCAGACUGGGUAACUAGAGUACUUUAGGGAGGGGUAGAAUUCCACGUGUAGCGGUGAAAUGCGUAGAGAUGUGGAGGAAUACCGAAGGCGGAGGCAGCCCCUUGGGAAUGUACUGACGCUCAUGUGCGAAAGCGUGGGGAGCAAACAGGAUUAGAGACCCCGGUAGUCCCUGUCUCUUAUAC
rnacentral:rRNA from 1 species